AUUGAACGCUGGCGGCAUGCUUUACACAUGCAAGUCGAACGGUAACAGGUCUUCGGAUGCUGACGAGUGGCGAACGGGUGAGUAAUGCAUCGGAACGUGCCCAGUCGUGGGGGAUAACGCAGCGAAAGCUGUGCUAAUACCGCAUACGAUCUAUGGAUGAAAGCGGGGGAUCGCAAGACCUCGCGCGAUUGGAGCGGCCGAUGUCAGAUUAGCUAGUUGGUGGGGUAAAGGCCCACCAAGGCGACGAUCUGUAGCUGGUCUGAGAGGACGACCAGCCACACUGGGACUGAGACACGGCCCAGACUCCUACGGGAGGCAGCAGUGGGGAAUUUUGGGACAAUGGGCGCAAGCCUGAUCCAGCAAUGCCGCGUGCAGGAAGAAGGCCUUCGGGUUGUAACU
rnacentral:rRNA from 1 species